rnacentral:rRNA from 1 species
AUUGAACGCUGGCGGAAUGCUUUACACAUGCAAGUCGAACGGUAGAGGGGGCAACCCCUUGAGAGUGGCGAACGGGUGAGUAAUAUAUCGGAACGUGCCCAGUCGUGGGGAUAACGUAGCGAAAGUUACGCUAAUACCGCAUACGAUCUAAGGAUGAAAGCGGGGGAUCGCAAGACCUCGCGCGAUUGGAGCGGCCGAUAUCAGAUUAGGUAGUUGGUGAGGUAAAGGCUCACCAAGCCAACGAUCUGUAGCUGGUCUGAGAGGACGACCAGCCACACUGGAACUGAGACACGGUCCAGACUCCUACGGGAGGCAGCAGUGGGGGAAUUUUUGGACAAUGGACGCAAGUCUGAUCCAGCCAUUCCGCGUGCAGGAUGAAGGCCCUCGGGUUGUAAACUGCUUUUGUACGGAACGAAAAGGUUUCUAUUAAUACUAGGAGCUCAUGACGGUACCGUAAGAAUAAG